rnacentral:lncRNA from 1 species
CUAUCUGAGUCCUAAAUCUAAGUCAUACAUAUAAUCUAAAAAUAAAAUAAAAAAAUUAAGAUCAUAUUUCAAUAUCUUACAUGAGUCAAAGUACACCACAGUGGAUAAUCAUAGAUCUGAAGGUUCUUGAGCCGCACAUGCAUCCGACCUCUACAGAUAUCCAUCAUGAUCAAUCUUGAACCUUUCUUCUUAUUUUUGAUCCAUCUUCUCAAAGAUGAAUCUCAGCCUUUUGGAUCUUUGAUCAACCAUUGAUCUUUAUCCGCG